rnacentral:tRNA from 6 species
GAUUAAAUGGCUGAAGUUUAGGCGAUAAAUUGUAAAUUUAUAUAUAAGAGUAAUUCUUUUUAAUCA